AGCAGCCGCGGUAAUUCCAGCUCCAAUAGCGUAUAUUAAAGUUGUUGCAGUUAAAAAGCUCGUAGUUGAAUUUCGGGGUUAGUAGAUUGGUCGUGCCAUCGGUAUGCACUGGUCUUACUGAUUCCUCCUUCCUGAUGAACCGUAAUGCCAUUAAUUUGGUGUUGCGGGGAAACUGGACUGUUACUUUGAAAAAAUUAGAGUGUUUAAAGCAAGCUAACGCUUGAAUACAUUAGCAUGGAAUAAUGAAAUAGGACGUUCGAUCCUAUUUUGUUGGUUUCUAGGAUUGACGUAAUGAUUAAUAGGGAUAGUUGGGGGCAUUAGUAUUCAAUUGUCAGAGGUGAAAUUCUUGGAUUUAUUGAAGACUAACUACUGCGAAAGCAUUUGCCAAGGAUGUUUUCAUUAAUCAAGAACGAAAGUUAGGGGAUCGAAGACGAUCAGAUACCGUCGUAGUCUUAACCAUAAACUAUGCCGACUAGGGAUCGGAUGAUGUUAAUUUUAUAAUGACUCAUUCGGCGCCUUA
rnacentral:rRNA from 1 species